UACGGAGGGGGCUAGCGUUGUUCGGAAUUACUGGGCGUAAAGCGCACGUAGGCGGCUUUGUAAGUUAGAGGUGAAAGCCCGGGGCUCAACUCCGGAAUUGCCUUUAAGACUGCAUCGCUAGAAUUGUGGAGAGGUAAGUGGAAUUCCGAGUGUAGAGGUGAAAUUCGUAGAUAUUCGGAAGAACACCAGUGGCGAAGGCGACUUACUGGACACAUAUUGACGC
rnacentral:rRNA from 1 species